CGUCGAGCGGCGGACGGGUGAGUAAUGCAUAGGAAUCUGCCCGGUAGUGGGGGAUAACCUGGGGAAACUCAGGCUAAUACCGCAUACGUCCUACGGGAGAAAGCAGGGGAUCUUCGGACCUUGCGCUAUCGGAUGAGCCUAUGUCGGAUUAGCUUGUUGGUGAGGUAACGGCUCACCAAGGCGACGAUCCGUAGCUGGUCUGAGAGGAUGAUCAGCCACAUCGGGACUGAGACACGGCCCGAACUCCUACGGGAGGCAGCAGUGGGGAAUAUUGGACAAUGGGCGCAAGCCUGAUCCAGCCAUGCCGCGUGUGUGAAGAAGGCUUUCGGGUUGUAAAGCACUUUCAGUGAGGAAGAAGGCCUCGGGGCUAAUACCCCCGAGGAAGGACAUCACUCACAGAAGAAGCACCGGCUAACUCCGUGCCAGCAGCCGCGGUAAUACGGAGGGUGCGAGCGUUAAUCGGAAUUACUGGGCGUAAAGCGCGCGUAGGCGGCGUGAUAAGCCGGUUGUGAAAGCCCCGGGCUCAACCUGGGAACGGCAUCCGGAACUGUCAGGCUAGAGUGCAGGAGAGGAAGGUAGAAUUCCCGGUGUAGCGGUGAAAUGCGUAGAGAUCGGGAGGAAUACCAGUGGCGAAGGCGGCCUUCUGGACUGACACUGACGCUGAGGUGCGAAAGCGUGGGUAGCAAACAGGAUUAGAUACCCUGGUAGUCCACGCCGUAAACGAUGUCGACUA
rnacentral:rRNA from 1 species